UACAGGGGGGCAAGCGUUGUUCGGAAUUACUGGGCGUAAAGGGUGCGUAGGUGGCGCUGUAAGUCGGGUGUGAAAUUUCGGGCUUAACUCCGAAACUGCAUUCGAUACUGCGGUGCUUGAGGACUUGGAGAGGAGACUGGAAUUCAUGGUGUAGCAGUGAAAUGCGCAGAUAUCAGGAGGAACACCAAUGGCGGAAGGCAGCACUCUGGGACGUGACUGACGCUGAGACGCGAAAGCGUGGGGAGCAAACAGG
rnacentral:rRNA from 1 species